rnacentral:rRNA from 1 species
UACGUAGGGUGCGAGCGUUGUCCGGAAUUAUUGGGCGUAAAGAGCUCGUAGGCGGUCUGUCGCGUCGGUCGUGAAAACUUGGGGCUUAACCCUGAGCUUGCGGUCGAUACGGGCAUGACUGGAGUUCGGCAGGGGAGACUGGAAUUCCUGGUGUAGCGGUGAAAUGCGUAGAGAUCCGGAAGAACACCGGUGGCGAAGGCGGCCUGCUGGGCAGUAGCUGACGCUGAGGCGCGACAGCGUGGGGAGCAAACAGG